rnacentral:rRNA from 1 species
CCUACGGGAGGCAGCAGUGAGGAAUAUUGGUCAAUGGGCGGGAGCCUGAACCAGCCAAGCCGCGUGAGGGAAGAAGGUACAGCGUAUCGUAAACCUCUUUUGUCAGGGAACAAAGGCGGGGACUAGUCCCCGGAUGAGGGUACCUGAAGAAAAAGCAUCGGCAAACCCCGUGCCAGCAGCCGCGGUAAUACGGAGGAUGCGAGCGUUAUCCGGAUUUAUUGGGGUGAAAGGGUGCGCAGGCGGCCUGUUAAGUCAGCGGGAAAAGCCCGGGGCUCAACCCCGGCGAGCCGUUGAAACUGGCGGGCUGGAGUUGGAGAGAGGUGCGCAGAAUGCGCGGUGUAGCGGUGAAAUGCUUAGAGAUCGCGCAGAACCCCGAUUGCGAAGGCAGCGUACCGGCUCCACACUGACGCUGAGGCACGAAAGCGUGGGUAUCGAACAGGAUUAGAUACCCCUGUAGUC